UGGGGAAUAUUGCACAAUGGGCGAAAGCCUGAUGCAGCCAUGCCGCGUGAGUGAAGAAGGCCCUAGGGUUGUAAAACUCUUUCGCCAGGGAAGAUAAUGACGGUACCUGGUAAAGAAGCCCCGGCUAACUCCGUGCCAGCAGCCGCGGUAAUACGGAGGGGGCUAGCGUUGUUCGGAAUUACUGGGCGUAAAGCGCACGUAGGCGGAUUGGUCAGUCAGAGGUGAAAGCCCGAAGCUCAACUUCGGAACUGCCUUUGAUACUGCCAAUCUAGACUCCGGGAGAGGCGAGUGGCAUUCCUAGUGUAGAGGUGAAAUUCGUAGAUAUUAGGAAGAACACCAGUGGCGAAGGCGGCUAACUGGCCAGGUACUGACGCUGAGGUGCGAAAGCGUGGGGAGCAAACA
rnacentral:rRNA from 1 species